GACUUUUAAGGUGAACAGUUUCAAGCAUUCCAAAUGAAUUCUCGAUGUUUCAUAACUUUUUAUUAUAACCUCACCUCCUGAUAAAAGCCAAGUACUAUUUGAUACGGUGAUUAAAAACCAAACAACUUGGAAAUUUUUUAAAAGACAUCGUCUGGCUAAAUGCUCAUUUUCACAAUCAGAAUAGCUUUAAAAUAUAGUUGAAUUUGAUACACGUAGAAACGUUUUGUUGAACAAAUUCCUUUUGCUUUUCGUUUUUCUUGAGAGACCUAAAGAGAGAUUGUGGAUUGUUUUCCUGACUGAACAAAAGAGUAAUGUGACAAAAUGAAGUCAUUGUAAAGACGUGAUGCGACUUGUCAAAUGUUUAAUAAAGGAUUGUGGAAGCUGG
rnacentral:lncRNA from 1 species